CCUACGGGAGGCUGCAGUGAGGAAUAUUGGUCAAUGGGCGUAAGCCUGAACCAGCCAAGUCGCGUGAGGGAAGAAGGUCCUAUGGAUUGUAAACCUCUUUUAUCAGGGAGCAAAGGGCGCGACGUGUCCCGUUCCGAAUGUACCCUAUGAAAAAGGAUCGGCUAACCCCGUGCCAGCAGCCGCGGUAAUACGGAGGAUGCGAGCGUUAUCCGGAUUUAUUGGGGUUAAAGGGUGCGCAGGCGGAAAUUUAAGUCAGCGGUGAAAGUCGGUGGCUCAACCAUUGCAGUGCCGUUGAAACUGGGGUGCUGGAGUGUGUGAGAAGUAUGCGGAAUGCGUGGUGUAGCGGUGAAAUGCAUAGAUAUCACGCAGAACCCCGAUUGCGAAGGCAGCAUACC
rnacentral:rRNA from 1 species